ACACACGGAAGUGAUUUUAAUAGUUUUGUGGCACAGAGCGUACAUUAGAAGAUUUACUUUUAUUAUAUAUUUUUUACCGGACCAGCAAAAUGUUUUUAAAAUUUUUUAUUUAUUUUAAAUUACGCCCACAGAAUGCGGUACAAUCAAAGGAUUUGUGGACUGUGCUAUUAAGUGGUGUCGCUUUGCGGUAAGCUAUUCAGACUCGCCAAUAAAAUGGAGGUCCUUUAUCAUUGAGCUUAACCUUGUAACGAACAAGACUGCAGUUUCUUAAUGGCAUAUUUAUCAAUACCAAGGUUAUAAUAAUGUAACGUAAAAAAUAUUUUUCUAUUAUUACAAAUGUGCUUAUUCUAGAGCUUUAUAGAAUGUUGUAUGUAAUGACAUUUGUACUACCGGUAAUGCAGAUAGUAUUCCUGUUGAAAACUCGUUAUAUUUUAACAGCUAGUAAAUCUAAGGGUAAUGUGUUGUCGAUUAUUUAACAUGCUAAAAAUAAUGACACGUACUUACCAAGUUUUUGCUGGGAUUUUCUAGAUUGCUAAAAAAGAAAUGAAAGUGUUGAAUAUAGAUACGCAGUUUUUUUUUCAAUCUAAUACUUACCAUCAAAGGUGUACGUCCGUCAGUAAUAAGUUGUAUAAAUCCUUUGCGGAAUCAUUUGCUUUAAAAUAUUCCCUCGCUGCAUAAAUUGUAGAUCACAUUUUAAUUUUAAAAGUUUCUGCAAACAAAGUUAAAUAAAGAUAGUAAAACAACAGAAUAUUUUUUUUUAAAUUGCUACUGCUUACCCAAAUUGCAGACCGUUUCACGCUGUAUCACGUAUUCACGCCUAUUCGCGAGGCUAUUAGAGCUAGUUUCCGCUUUACCAGUGCAGUAUAUUAAAUUUCAUCCUGUAAUUAUGCUCUGAGGCAAGAAUGGAAAACAUUAUUUGAAUAAAAUAAGAGUUGAAUAUUCA